UACGUUUUAUUUCUACCUUGGUUCCUUUACCGAACCUCCACUCAGGUGAGCUCCAGCCUUGCUGACAAUAAUAAUCUCCCGCAUCAUCAGCUUCAACCCUGCUGAUUGUAAAACUGAAAUCAGUGCCAGAUCCACUGC